rnacentral:rRNA from 1 species
AUUGAACGCUGGCGGCAUGCCUAACACAUGCAAGUCGAACGGCAGCAUGAUCUGGAUUGCUACAUAGAUGGGGAGAGUCGCACGGGUGAGUAAUAUAUAGGGACGUGUACUUUAUUGGGGGGUAACUAGUCGAAAGAUUAGCUAAUACCGCGCACGACCUCUAGGUGAAAGGGGCGGAGCGCAUGGCCUCUUGCGAUAUGAGCGGCCGAUGUCUGAUUAGCUAGUUGGUGAGGUAAAGGCGCACCAAGGCGACGAUCAGUAGCUGGUCUGAGAGGACGAUCAGCCACACUGGGACUGAGACACGGCCCAGACUCCUACGGGAGGCAGCAGUGGGGAAUUUUGGACAAUGGGCGAAAGCCUGAUCCAGCAAUGCCGCGUGUGUGAAGAAGGCCUUCGGGUUGUAAAGCACUUUUGUCGGGAAAGAAAUGGAUCUGGUUAAUACCUGGGGUAGAUGACGGUACCCGAAGAAUAAGGACCGGCUAACUACGUG